CUGUAAUUUAAGUCUUCCAUUUGGUCCCCUAGGGGAGUGUCCACCAGGUGGGAGACCUGCAUAAAUACGGGCAGGUAGCCCACAGUAAACCCAGAUCUUAUUUGACCCUCAAUGCGGAGCUUCUGUCUCGUUAUUGGGGGGAUUUCUUCUUCACGUUUAGAGACUGCUGGAUGGAACGAAAGCCGCUUUGGGGAUAUUAUUGUUCGACGGUUCCUAGCAGUUCGUAUAUUGCCGUUCGGGAGUUUGGAGCCGUUCGUGGAUUUCGAUCGGGAGAUUGCCGCUUCCCCUGCAUUUGGUUCGUG